GCUCUCAAAGCUCAGUGACCUCCAAUUGUGAGUGCAACCUCCUUUAAUGCCCCCUCGUUCACUUUCCUUUCUUUUUCUUAUUUUUCUGCCUGUAAUUCUUUGGAAGUAUUUGAUUGUUUGAGCACACUGCAAAUUAGAGUUUUUAUACUAAAUGGUCAAGGUUCACUCAUGUUGACAGUUUUGUGGGGGAGAGCAUGGCCGAUGACAGUACCUUGGUGUUUGCUUACUACAAGGAUGGUGCCACCGAUCCGACUUUCUUGUAUUUUGGCGUUGGCCUGAAGGAGGUCAAGUGCUAGAUAAAAAUAAUGUUGUCUUUGGGCUUUGAGAGGGACUGGUGCUUGCUGUAGUUUUAGUAGUUGUUAUUGCAUUUUUGAUCUGUGUACUUUGCAACUUAUCGAGUUUCCUUGACUAUUAAUGAUUGUUUUUCCUGGAUCAGAGGUAUCUUAUAAUUUACAAAAUUCUCUAAUUAUUCUUGGUAAUGUUACCCGCGCCCAUUAGCGUGUCUUUGUAAAGCUUUUUCUGCCUCCCUUUUAGCUAAUUGGCGUGUUUAGAAAUUAUAAUAUUACUCAGGGAUUGAGUUGAUUGCUCAGGAUUUAUGGUAAGUUCAGAAAAAUCUCAAAGAUUAUAUAUCUCGAGCAUCGGUCGAGUGUAUCUGCAUACUUGUAGAUAUACAUCUAUUUUUAUUUGGCAAAUAUGUCGGCUACACAUUGUAAAGAUCAAACACCUGAUAACCGGUAUAAUGCAGCACUGUGACUAUUAGUCCCAAAAUCUGAGAUCCAGUCUAUGGGAUGCAUUGAAUACAAGUCACAAGACCAUUGGGUUAAUCCUAGGAUGGGCAGGUAAUUUUACGAAGAAAAAGCAAGGUACUUGUAUGAGGGCUUGAGCUCGCUACUAUGUCGAUGAAGAACAGCAAAUGAGACUGCUGCAUCCUAUGUUAAGUGAUGCGCUGAUGGUCAUCUGGGCAGGCAGCCAAAAGCGUGACCCGGAAAACUCGAAACCGCUUUGUCAUAUGAUUGAUCAAGUCUCGAGAGGGAGGGUCCCUGGUGGUGUAUGUUAGGCUUCUUCCUUGGGUGGUGUACUUUAGGCUUCUUCCUUGGGUGGUGAGUUUAACCUCGUAGGAAAGAUGGAAGGCUAUCCAUUACAAUUAGCGUGUCUCUGUAAAGCUCUUUCUGCCUCAUUUUAGUUAAUUUUCAUGUUUAUGGAUUAAGCUUUAUUCAAAUUCUCAGAAAUUAUGGUAAGUGUAAGAAGGAAGAAAAAAAAACUGUAUAUCUUGGAACAGUGAUCGAGUGUGUCGCAUAGGACUAUAAUGUGUCUGCAUACUUGUAAGAUCAAACACCUGAUCACUGGCUACCAAAAGGGUUAAAACAUCCUGAGACUAUUAGUCAUAAAAUCUUAAUCCCAGUCUGAAGGAUGAAUCAAAUCAAAGUUAAAGACCAAUGGGUUAAUCCCAUAGUAGGUUUUUAGUUUUACAAUAUCAUAUAUAAUUAACCCUGUCAGCUAUUAAAAGAAGAAAACAAAUGCUUCUUCCAACAAAAAAUAAAAAUAAAAAAAAGAAGGAAAUACUCUUAUUCUGGCAUGAGCUCACUACUGAUGACUGGAUUGACCAAUUGCUUAAACACUAAACUUGCAGCAUUGAAGAAGAUCAGCGAAUAGAAGAUUACUGUAUCCUUGUAUUCUUUGAUGGUCAUUUAGGGAGUCAGUCAAAAACUUGAUCUGGAAAACUGAAACCUCUUUGCCAUCUGAUUGAUCGAAAAGGAGGGCCUGGGCUUUAGUGGUGUACUUUAGGCUGCUUCACGAUCAUCACAGAGCAGUGAGCAUGGUGGGAGCAGUGAUCGCUGACGCUGCCCAGAACAACCCUGCAGAAUUAACAAGGUUGAGUUCAGGGAUUCAUUGGUACCAUCUUUUAAAGACUUGAAAAUAGGUUCACCUUUUCAAAGCCCCAUAUCCAUGGCUACCGAGAACCAAGAGAGAUGCAUGAUGUUUGUCAACGGCAUCACACAUGACCAUCCUGGCAUCCCCUUCGAUCACUUCAAAUUCUGCAUCUUCCACCUGCAUAGAAAAUUAUGAUUGGCUUAUCGUAAUCAUGCAUCAGGCUCUUAUCAAACUACAGAAACUUUGCACUAUACAAAAAUGAUGCUCAAAAUUUUCAGCUUCCUCACUCCUUUUUCCUUGCAGAGCUCCUUAGCUUGCUCGAUAAGCCUUUCAGCUGUCCUCUUCAGGUCGGCUUCCACAAGUGGUAGCACGUCCGUGGAUCCUACAAGCAAACAAAAUCUUGUUAAUGCAAACAAGAGCAUGCCUUAAUGCCUAAAAGUUUAUUCGAUUGUAUGCAUGAAAAUGAAAAUCUGUCAGAUGAAAGGGUUACACAAUUGACAAGCUUCCUUUUAUCUCUGAAAUUUUAUGAAAAGAAAAGAGGUAAUAUUCAUUUACCAGGUCCUGCAAGUCCAAUGACAGACGUAGGAGGAUAUUUGGCAUGGACAAUAACGAGCUUGAACAGGGCAUUCGAUGUAGGAGUAAAGAAAUGCUCAAGGGUCCACUUAAGAGCAUAAAAGCUAUGCUCACUAUCAUCAAUUGCAAGAAGCAUCACUUGUUUCCCACCCGCCAUUGUUGUUUAUUUGUUGAUUAAUUUGAUGACUUCAAUCAGUCUUCUCGUUGAAUGGAAAAAGUGCUGAGUAUGAUUUAUGAAUGACCUGAUCGCAUCCCAUUUGAUCAUUUAUAUAGGCAUUCUGGGAUCCGCAGGCUGUUAGAUUUGCAACGACGAUGUCCUUUCCCAAUCCGUUGAAUUCGGAUUGAAUGUCGGAAUUUCGCGACGAGUGACGGAGUUCUUAAGGAAACCAAUUUUUUCUCCUGAAGACUUGGUCUCUGUCCAAUGCACGGCAGAUAAACCAGGCAAAGUUUGUUGUACUGUUGUCCUUCAAGUUCCUGGUCAACUAGCUCUUUGGGUUUGUUUUUCCGUUUUAACCAUCUUUUUUUUAAGCAUCAAUGAAAAGAAAGAUGUUGCAUUCAGUUCCUACAAAUUCUGAUGUUUCAAUUUAUUGAACUCUUUUUUUUUUUUUUUUUCUUUAGUGAAAUGUUCCCUGUUUCGUUUCUGGAUUUUCUCUUUUUUACCUCUGUCUUCACAUAACAGAGCAUCUUUAAUGAAAUGUAAUAUACUACUUGCUAUAUUUGCUGCAAGGCCUUGGAGAAUUGUUUGCUAUAUUAAAAUUAAGUUGCAUUUGUUACAAAUCGUCAAAUUGAAUGGAUUUUUUCAAAUUGUUAAACCUGUAUAAAUCGAUUGGAAUUGUCAUCAAACAUAAUAUACACUUUUCCUAUCUAUUUUAUUUAUGCGUUAAUACUUGCUUUUUAUUACAACAAAUUUUUUCCUUUUAUUAACCAGCAAUGCAUUAAGAUGCUCUUUAUAAUAUAUUUACGCAUGACACUUAACUCAUAAACAAUCUUUCAAAUUUUGUUACCUUUAAACACUUUAGAGUGGGUAGACACAGCCAGGCCUUACUAGUAUAUAUAAUAUACGUAUAUCUUCUCACACAAAAUUGGAGAGAAGACCAGAGAGGGCCUUUAUAUUCGUUACGUGUUGGGUUGUGUAAUCAACCCCCCAACCUAUUUAUGUUCACCCUUGUCUUUGUAUAUCUUACUUGGCCUCCAACUUAUUUUGUCAAAAGCAAAAAUUCACUCUUAUUUAUUAAUUUGCAGAAAAUCAUCCUACGUGACCAAAGAAUUUCGCUGCCAUGGCCGCGACCGACGACGAUCUUGAAUCUAAAAGGGUAGUUUUAACAGUUUCAACGACCGUGACUUCAAAUUCGGACGGAGUAUGCAUAUUCCAUUCAAAUAUACUCGGACAAAUUGUUUGGAUUGCAGUUUUCUGUCGAAAAAUUACGUUAUUUUUCGUAAUCAUAUUUCUCUAUUACCUUUUUCCCUCGCAUACAUCAAAUCGUUACGGUAAUUUUUCCAUGAAAAAUCAUGGAAAAUGCAAUCCAUACACAACAAAUUUCUUGUUACUUUGUCGGACAAAAUUUAUUAUUUUCUUCAAUCAGUCCCUUCUUAGUUUCCGCAAUCAAGUUACAAACCAUCUGUAAGUAGAAAUCCUCUCUUCUGCUGGCUUAAUUGUAAUUACCAUUUGAUAUCAUUAGAUGUUUCCAUUUCCAUUAGAUAUAAUCAGAUAUUUCCAAGAAAAUUGGGUUCUAUUCUCAUGUAUUUCAUCUGUAUCCACCGGUAUUCAUUGAUUAAUUAUUCAACGCCAUCAUGAUUGCUUUGUCAACUUGGACUAUGAUAUCCUAAUUUCAGAUUACGCCACAUGCAGAGCCUAAUAACAGAUGCUCACCUUGUGAGAUCCAUCAUAUAUUAUUAUAACCCAAGUUUUGAUCUUAUGAAUAAGCUAAUUAAUAACUGCAAAUAAGGCCAUUAGUGUUAAUAAUAUAUACCAGCACUGCAUCAUUGCUAAUCUUUGGGAAGUUGGUGCAUCAUAGCUUAUAGCGCACAGGGUGGUGGGAGCUAAUUACCAGCUAAAGAGUCUCAGUGGAUGGAUGAAACCAACUUUCAUUCAAAUUGCACUCUUAAUCGUUGAAUCUCAUCAACCCCACCCCACAUACUUUAAGUAAAAGCAAGGCUUUUUUUUUUUUUUUUUUUUUGCAAAAGAAGUGUACGGCAAGCCAUGAUAAGUUAGGUAAUUUAUAUGCACAUCUUUGUAUACUUGGAUUCAAAAGUGCUUAAGGCUCCACGUUUGAAAUACGCAAGUAUGCAUCAUUCUUCUUCUUUGUUGCCCACCUAAUCAAACUCGUCCAAGAAGACUUCUUUUCUUUUUGUCUAAUUGAAGUGGCUAGGUUGAUUUAAAAAGAACAGAAAAUUCUCAGUUAACUUUGAUCCAUGUAAAACUCAUGUACUAAACCUUGCGCAAUGUAGAUUAGAUUAGUUAAGUACAACACAUAAACCGUUAACGUUGACACGAUAAGUUUACAAGAUGCUAUAACAUUUAGUGAAAAGACUUUGGACAUGUAUUAAAGAUAAUGGAAGAAUAGAGCAUAUUGAGGAAUCCCUCAUACUUUCAUAUAUUUUUUUCCACUUAGGGGGUGUUCCAGCCUUUUUUUUUUUUUUUUUGCCAGACUAAUCCCCUUAAACCCAACAGAGCCCUAUCCAAGGAUGUUAGCAAUUUUACCACAGCGAAGGUCGAACACGGGAUCUUACCGUAAAGACGGACUUAUCAGUCCUCGUGGGUGCUCGUACUUUCAUAUUUAGUACAGCUUGAUUUGUGUGUGGAAAUAGCUAUGAUCAAGAUUAUCAAGAUUUUCAAUUCAGAAUUUUCGAAAAGAAAAGGCAAAAAUUAUUUGAACAGCAACAUAGGCAUCAGACUAGCUGCAAAUUGCAUUUCUGCCAAACUUCUCAUAAUAGUUGCAUGUGAUGGAAAUGUAGCACCUCCUGUCCUGCCAACCAACUCAUUGGAUUAGGACGGAGGGCUGCCACUAUUCGGGUGGUUCGCAUUAAUUAACUUCAAUCAACUUGGAAUUAAAUUGACCAUUAAUUUAUACUAGUAUGUACUACUCCUUUGCCAUGAAUGCACACACUAUCACUAUGUAUAGAGAAGAAAAGAAAAAAGAAAAACAAAAGAAUAAAAGAUAGCAAGAAACUGAUUAAGGAUCUUCCUAAAUAUAGAAUAUAGUCUAUCUGAGAGGCCGGCAGUCAAAAGCAUCUUGCAAACCCCUAGCGUCCAUUUCCACCUAAAACAUUUAAAUAAAGGAAACUCCUAGUCCAUAUCAUAUUACAACCUCAGAAUGAGUACAGAGUUGUUCAGAUUUUCUUCCUUGUAAUUAUAUACCAAUUGUCUCCCGAAAACAAGAACUUGGACACGAUUCUGUUGACUAUUACUACAAUCAAAUUUACUAACUUUUGCCUUGUUGAAUCAGCCCUUUUUUUUUUCUAAUCGUGAUUCAUUGUAAAGGGUCCACUCCAUUCCAUUGUAGUACAUCUGCAAGGUUCUUGGAUAAGGAAGCGAAUUAAGAUGACGAAGGUUCUUGGGAUCAGACAUUGCAUUGCCAAGAGAUCAGUGCUUCAGUUGCUUUUACACUAAAAUCCAGAGACCGCCUCACGUGUAUACUAUUCAAGUAAUUAAACAUCAAGAAUUGUUAUAGAUAAGAGAGUUCCACCCAACCAUGCCACCAAACCCCCCCCCCCCCAACCACAAAAACAACCUCCUACAAAACCCAAAAAAGAAAAAAGAAAAAGCGAAAUGGGUUCUAAGUUCCAACUUCUGAGCCGUGCAUAAUGUAUAGGUUUACAUAUUGAGCAGGCUGGCAAGCUUAAGAGCAUGAGUUGUCUGAUAAAACAUAAAUAGGUUCAAGAAAAAGAUAAAGAUCCCAUUAGGUUCUUUAGUUACGAGUCUUGGGUGGAACUCAAUGGCAGAAUUUCGCAUUUAUAACUGUUUUCCUUAUUUAAUUUGCCCAAUUUAUUUACCAGCUCUUUGAGUGGAGUUCACACAUCGAGGUUCUUGUUUGUUCUAUUUUGUGGGGUGGGGCAUUGACGCAUUGUUGAUAAGAAGAAGAUGAAUUUGCAUAUUCGAUUUAUCUAAACAGCAGAAAUGAAAAGUAAACCACCUCUUUUUGCUUUCUGAUUUUAACAUAGUAUAGGGUUAUUUUGUGGUCUUGGCAAGAAGUUAUUUAUUGUCUUCUAGCAUCUUUGUUUAUUUGGACCAUCAAUAUCCAUGGCAUUCAUUAGUGUUUAUGUAUAUAUAAUUUUUUGUCAGAUAAGAACUAUAAAGAGAGACCGGAGGGGGGGGGGGGGUUUCUCAAAAUCAAGAAAUGAUGAUAUUUUUAUGGUGGCAUCCGAAUCAAAUAGAUAUUUGAGCAUUUUUUCAACUAAAACCUGAAAAUAUCAGUCAGCCACAUACUAUAACAUGCUAAUAAGGUUCCAAAGAAAAAAAAAAAAGAAAGAACAGGAGAAUAUCAAAAUUUGAGUAUUUACAGUAGGUACUGGUGGAAUCAAGAAAGCGAUAAAAGUGGGAGUUGAUAUGUUUGAUAAAACUAAAAGUGGACAAAAAAAUGUCAUCACUCUGCCUAGUUACCUUGCCUUGAAAAUAAUGGGACAAGUCAGGUCAAUCAUCCCUGGCUGCUGCAGUGACGACAAGAGAAUCAGACUGCAUGCAAGUUUGAGCUAGCUAAGGGUAAAUUGUCUGCUGCCUCCAACUCCGAGAGUUAUAGAACUAUGCGUAUUGUACACUGUGCCCCAUGCCCAUGCCACAGCUGGUUUGGUCAGAGAUGCAGGAAAAUUACUCAGAUCUGUUUCUGAGAACAAUAAUGCCACAAGGGCACUAAAAUACUCUCUCUAUUUCACUAGCUUAGUUUAACCUACCCAAAAGACAAAAAAAAAGGGGUUUAGUUUAACUUGGUGUUCACAUAAUAGAACUGUAGUAUAAGAUGGGUAUAUUAAAAGGUGGAAACUUUUCUUGGCACAUUAAAAGGGUUUGAUGUCUUUAAAAGGGGGGCUACUGAUGCCUUCAUUUUCCUAUCUUAUUACCAGCUUGUAAUCAGGAAAGUGCUGAGAAUGGAAUGUCCAAUUUUUCUCCAUGACUUUGAUUAUAGUUUUUCUUUAUAGCACAAGCUUCCAAUCAAGGCAGCAUCCCAGAAGCUAUUCAAAACUGGGGAGGCCAUUUUGAAAAAUACAUCACUUGAAGGCAUGCAUAGUGGUUGAGAUUAAUGUCUCAGAAAUUCAAUUUAUUGGACUCAGAAUUUCUCUGAGUUCCUCUCUGCUCUUUAAAUCUAACCCUUUCCGGAGCUUUCAUUUUGUUUUAGUUUGCACCCAUUUUAUAAAAUCUUGCAAAUGGUAAUUUUUAGCUUUAUGGAGAAAAUAAGCAAGCAGGGUAAAGACUAAAGAUGUCAUUUCACAUACUCAAAUAUAGCCGUUUCAGUUUUCCCUUUUUUUUUUAAAAAAAAAAAAAAAAAAUCACCUUCCAAUAAAUACCUCCAACAAACGAGAUAUAUGGGAUUAGAAUAUAGAUUAUAGAUUAUACAGAUAUAAUUUCUCCAUCAGAACUUGCUUGUGUCUCCGGCUUGUGAUAAAAUACUAACCUCAGUUUCUCUCUGUUUCUCAUCCCUCCAAAGCAAUCCCAAAAACACGCACAACACCCACUCAAUUUCAUACACUUCAAAUUCUCUAUAUUUUCUUUACACCAUCAAGUUAGGGUUUUUUGCUCAUUUCUCCCAGAUCUAUUCCCCCAGUUAGCCUGAUUCAUUCCCCCAGAUCGCACAAUUCUCACUCUUCUCCGGCAUCCGGUGAUCUCCCUGUCCCCCGCUUUCGCUCCCUUUUUUUUUUGCGUCAUCUGUUGCGAAAUUUAUGCUUAGAUAUCGAGAUUCAAGAUAAGGUUUUUUAUUUUAAUUUCUGCUACCUAACAUGCAUUGUGGAAUUGAUCAUUUCUAGGGCGGAUUUUAACUCCGAUUAAUCUCAUUUCUGUGAUCACCGGCGAAAUUUCUGAUUUUGAAUUGGAUUUUGGGCGUUUCAAUUCGUUAAUGUGCCGCUUUGAUUCGGACUUUUCACCUCACUGUAAGUAAAAUUUAGCAUUUUAAAAAUUUUCUUCGGUUUUGGCAGAUUUUUAAGUGUUUUUAGGAAUUUAGCGGUGACUUGUAUUACCUUUUUUUUUUUUUGGUGGGAAAGCUUUGGGAAUUAGAUCUUGAAAAUUGGCUCCUCAGCGGCGAUCACAGCGCCACAUGGGUGGCCAGAUGCAGCAGAGCAACGCUGCCGCCACUGCUCUGUAUGAUCACCCCGGCAAUGGGGGCCCCGCCAGCGGUGAUGCUGGAGACGCCGUUAUGGCGCGGUGGCUUCAGUCUGCCGGGUUGCAGCAUCUGGCCUCUCCAUUGGCCUCUACUGGUAUUGAUCAUCGGCUCCUUCCUAACCUUCUCAUGCAGGUGCUUUUCUACCUAUAAUGUCUCUUCAAUUCUCAGCUUUCUAAAUUUCAAGGAAAUGUCUAAAAAGAUUGAACUUUUGUAUCGAACCAAAAGAAAGUGCACUGACUAAUUCUUUUUAGAAUCAGGUGCUUCGAUUGGUAUUAUCUGGGCAUUGAGGUUUUCAUACCUGAAACUUCUACUUAGAUUGAGAGUCUGUUAUUUAUGCUUUCACCUUCGAUCUUUGAAGUUAAAUGAUAUUUGAUAUGAGGACUCGCCAGAUUUUGCUUCAGAAUAUCUUAUUGUGUUUUCAUGAUUUUUUCCCCCUUUUUUUUGGGGGGAGGGGGAGGGGAAGGGAGAGGGAGGGAGAUAGGUCGCUUGAUAUCUUUUGAUGGUUCCUGGGUUUUCGUUAUCCUCGUUUGAUAAAUGGUAACUCGUACAGUUUCUUUCGGAAAUUGCUUUGUGUAAUUGGCUUUAUUUAAGGACAUUUCAUAGAAAUGAAAAAUCAUAUACUUUUGCAUUUUGCAUUUGAUAUGGAAGAAAUCUAAUUAUCAAAAAAAGAAAUAUCAAGUGCCAAAUCUUAUAUUUGCAUGUAUUUAUCCUAUCAGUUUAGCUAUAUUAUAUUAGUUCAUGAAUAACUGUAGAAACUUGAUAUUGUUUAAAAGGGCUAUGGAGCACAAUCUGCAGAAGAGAAACAAAGGCUAUUUAAACUAAUGAGAAACCUGAAUUUUAACGGUGAACCUGGUUCUGAGCCGUACACUCCUACCUCCCAAAGUUUGAGUGGGUUUGCAGCAUCAGAUGGCUUUUAUUCUCCUGAAUUUAGAGGGGAUUUUGGUGCUGGCCUUUUGGACCUACACUCUAUGGAUGAUACAGAGCUCUUAUCUGAGGUUUGAUUCUUAUUUAUCUGGUAUUCCUGAGUUUCGAAUUUGAUACAAUUGGGUGCUUCCUGCUGUACAUUCACUUGUCAAAGGGUUUGGAAUGAUAAUGUGCCAUUUUGGUUAUUUUAAAUUGUUAGUUCCCUUUAUAUGAUUUGGGAUGUUGGGCAUUUAUUUGAUAAGGGAUCUUUAGCAUUUACUCUCAGUUUUAGACAUCUUGUUUUUUCCUCAGUGCAAGUUAUUUCAAUGGAGAUUCUUAUUUGUUGAUCAGGUUUCUACACUAUGGCACAUGAUGACAUAUAUUAGAAUUACAUUCAAAUGAGGAAUUACAACAUGUCAGAUAUGUUUAUGAAAUUCUUUUGUGAAAGAAAAAUUAUGAGAUACGCUUUCACAUGAUUUUGGCUUUUGAGUAUUAGCUUCCUUGUUUAAUUUAGUGGCUAUCUAAAGACAGUUAAAUUUGGCUAUCUAAAGGCAGUUAAAUUUUAUGUGUAGAUUUACUAAAUUGUAAAUGUAGUCAUUUAUAAUCAUCUGGCAUGGUUAUGAAUUCUGACGUUGCUGUGAUGACAUUAUACUGCAGAAUUUGGGUGUGUAGUUGGUUGUUCAUAUCUAUUUGCUGACGGCUAAUACAUACUUAUGGUUGGUAUCUUUGAUUUCCUCUUUCAGCAUGUCAUUUCGGAACCAUUUGAGCCGUCACCUUUCAUGCCAGCUGUGAGUAAAGCAUUUGACAGUGAUUUUGAGGUGAUACCCAGUCAGCUUCAAAAAGGACAAACUGAUGCAGAUGUUCCAUCUGGAUUUCUUGCAAGUGAAAAAGAUAUAAACACAAGAGAAAACAAUGUGGCUAAGAUUAAAGUUGUGGUGCGUUGUUCUUGUUGCAAAACACUCUCCCCAACAUCCCUCUGUGUCUAUGCGUGGAUUUGUGUUUGGGUUUCUUUGUGUAAUUGGUGGGGUACAGAGUAUAUAUUUGGGCUACUGGUUUGUUGAUGGGACAUGGCAUUUAUGUGUGAACAAGAGUGUGAGCUGUCAUUUUGUUUUUGGUUUGGUCUGUAAAUUCAAGACCUGCUAGGAGCUGUGUAAGCCUUCGUAUUGUUGCAAGAGUUGUUGCUUUUGUUCUAUUUUUCUUCUACCAACCAUUUUCUAUGUGGCCUCAGUUUAAGCAUGACAAUGUUGCAUUUGCUGCAGUUCUUCUAUAUGUACACAUGUAUCUUUUAAUGCUUUUUCCAUCAGAAAGUUUAAUUACUAUUUCUUCUUGGGAUGUUGCUAAUGCAAACUUUCUAUGUUCCCAUCUGCUAAGAGAUUGGAAGUAAUAUCUUCAAAUGUGGGUUGCAGUGACAUAUACUUCCUUUUACGCUUCUGUCAUAUGCAAUUGCUGCUCAUGUGUUUAAUCAGAAAAAAGGACACACAUCCAUUUGUUACAAUCCUAAGAGUGUUGUCUACGUAAGUUGGACUGGAUGUCACAUUGAAAAGUUUAUUGUCAUUUCAAUUGUUUGAAAGUUUUGAUUUAGUAUUUGUUGAUCUAUUUUACCUCAUCUUCUGAUGAAGAUAUCCAACAAUCUCAAUACCAUACCAUAAAACUUCUCUUUCUUCCCGAAUUUUUAACUGAAGCAUCCAUAGAACCCUCCAUUUUUUUUUGUGGACACUAAAGAUCCUGUUAUUCCCAUGGAAUUCCCAAUUUGAAGUACAUUCAAACAAAAGGUUGGAAGUUUAUGGAGCUACAACCCCCUCUCUUAUAUUUUUUCUAAUAAAUACUUUUCAUCUACCAUAAGUACAUUGUUUAUGAUGCCUAAUCUUUGGUAGUAUUUCUUAUGAAAUAAGAUAACAUAAAAUUCUUGUACAAUAACAAUUUGCAGCAGAGAUUGAGUUUUAUUGCUGUUUUUAUGUAUACUGAUCUAUUUUGCCACUCUUUGCUGUUCUUGUGACAGGACAUUUCAUCUUAUAUUUUCAUGUUUGUCUUAGGUGCGUAAAAGACCUUUGAACAAGAAGGAAAUUGCUCGUAAAGAAGAUGACAUUGUAACUGUACAUGAGGAUGCUUAUUUGACUGUUCAUGAACCGAAGUUAAAGGUAUAUAUCUCAACCAUUUAAAAAUGAUGGCUUCAUAAUUUUUUACCAUGUCAUAGGAAAUUUAGGAUGAUGAAAGCUGAAUAUAAAAAUCAUGUUUCUUUCAUUUUGCUUUCUAGCCGCAUUAGUUAUGACACUAUCCAUAAUUUUAUUUUGAAGGUUGACUUGACUGCCUACGUUGAGAAGCAUGAGUUUUGUUUUGAUGCUGUUCUGGAUGAGCAUGUGACAAAUGACGAGGUAACACCCUUGAUGUUUGGGUAGCACAAAUUAGCCUUGAAUACUGCAUUGCUCUGAAAUUUCUGUGAAGAGAGUUCCUCUCUCUCUCCCUCUUUUUUUUGGGUUGGAGGGGGGGGGGUUGUAGUAAUUGUGAAUUUGGUUCAUAAAAGAAAAAAAAAAGUCUUUUAUCGUGCCUCUGUGCUGCUGUACUUAGGUGAUUCUCUCUCUCUCUAAUUGUGUGAGUCUUCCUUGGGGGUCAUCUGCGUGUCACUAGUAUGUAUUCUGCAUUUGUAGGCUGGGAAGUAACUGUUUUCAUUUUUGCAUCUUCUGUAAUAUGUCCACUUUUGUUUCUUUGACCCUUGAAGGUUUUAAGCCUUCUUUCUGUCAAUUGGAUCAGGUAUAUCGAGUCACUGUAGAACCAAUUAUUCCUACCAUCUUCCAGCGGACAAAAGCCACAUGUUUUGCAUAUGGCCAGACAGGUACUUUCUGUCUCUUUUGUUGGAUUGUUGGUUAUGAUCUUGUCCAUCGGCAACUUCUUAUGUUAAAAUGGUCUGAAUGACACAUAUUUCCUUACACCACCUCUCCUUAGUCAACUGUUGAGGGUGCAUGAUAGUUAGUUUCCUGUAGUUAUAGUGGUUUUGUGGACCUUUCUCUGAAUCAUUGACUAGUCAUGGGCCUCUGUUCAUUCUAAUCGUGUUAGAUACUACUAAAUUACAUUCUUCUCUCUUUUCCUUUGUGAUUUCUUCAGGGAGUGGCAAGACAUACACAAUGCAGCCAUUACCUCUUAGAGCUGCAGAAGACAUUGUUAGAUUGCUGCAUCAGCCAGUUUAUCGUAAUCAGAGAUUUAAGUUGUGGCUCAGCUUCUUUGAGAUAUAUGGCGGAAAACUUUUUGAUCUUCUCAGUGACAGGAAGUUAGUACUCUCUUUGGCGUUGUUAGGUUUCUUGCUUGAUGCAACAAUCAUGAGAAGUUCUCCAUUUAAGUGCUUGAUAAUGGUGAUGUUUGCUUGUUUUUGGUUACUCAUUUUCUUGUGCAAAUGCAGAAAACUGUGCAUGAGAGAAGAUGGACGACAACAAGUUUGCAUUGUUGGACUACAAGAAUUUGAAGUAUCUGAUGUCCAGAUUGUUAAAGAAUUUAUUGAGAGGGGAAAUGCGGCGAGAAGUACAGGUUCUACUGGUGCCAAUGAGGAAUCGUCGCGGUCACAUGCAAUAUUACAACUUGCUAUCAAAAAGCAUAAUGAGAUUAAAGACUCCAGGAGGAACAAUGACGGAAAUGAAUCCAGGAGCGGGAAGGUUGUUGGGAAGAUUUCUUUCAUUGAUCUUGCUGGUAGCGAGAGAGGUGCUGAUACAACGGACACUGACCGGCAAACACGGUAAUAAUUCCUGAAACUACUUUUGUUUUUUUGCAGAAUAGUGGGAAAUGUGUUUACAAGACUUGUCAUUCAAACCUUCUGCCGCAUGGGCAGGGAGUUGGAUCUCAGCCAUUUCCUCUUGAGUUUGAUCCGAUUUAACAUUCAUUUGGCUUUAUCUUUGACUUACCAAUGAGAAUGCCUUCUUAUUGCCUUGAUUAUGAGUGCCUAAAGUAGUACCUCGUCUUCAGAGAUUAGUUAUUUUUUCUUUGUUAAUUGCUUUCUGGCUAAAUAACGUAUUUUCUUCUCAAAAAAAAGUCUCUUCUUCUCUCUUACUUCUUUUUGAUGCUUCAAACAAAGUGUUUUACUUAGUUGAGCAAUUCUUCUUGUUUGUAUCACGUUAACUCAUUAUGUGCUUAAAAUAAGCUCCACUUUUGCACUCAAACGCUACUUUUAUUCUGUUUAAGGAUUGAAGGAGCAGAAAUUAACAAGAGUCUUUUGGCUCUUAAGGAGUGUAUUCGUGCCUUGGACAAUGACCAGAUCCAUAUUCCUUUUCGUGGGAGCAAACUUACUGAGGUGCUCCGUGACUCCUUUGUCGGCAACUCAAGGACUGUUAUGAUAUCGUGCAUUUCUCCUAAUGCUGGUUCAUGUGAACACACACUCAAUACAUUGAGAUAUGCUGAUAGGUAUCGUCAUCUCUUUGAGAUUUUUUUCCUUUUUUUGUGUGGUGGUGGGUAGGACCAAAUUUGAGUUAUAACAUAACAGUUUACUAUGUCACUAAAGCUCAUCAUAUGAACAGGGUUAAAAGUCUCUCCAAAAGUGGAAAUACAAAAAAGGAUCAGGGUUCAAGUUCAUUACCACCUUCCAGUACUAAGGAAUCCUCAUCAGCACCAUUUUCUUCUUUCUCUGCUGAUGUAGAGGAUUUGGUGGACCAACAUCAGGAAUCUAAAGCAGUGGAUAACAGAAGGGUUGUACAAAAGGAAUUUACUUCUUACAAUUCUUCAAGUGAUGUUGAUAAACAACCUUCUAGUUUUACAUCAAAUUAUACUUCUGGACUGGAGGAAAGUACAGCAACUUCCAGUGCUCCCGACAAGGAGAGGUCUGAUAUGAAAAACAGUCAUGGUGGUUCAAGUCAGAAAAUUAACUUGACAUCAUUUUCCCAAAUUGCAGCUGAUACAGAAGAGAAAGUGCAGAAAGUUUCUCCUCCACGUCGAAAGGUGUAUCCUCAGAUUCCAGUCGAUACAGAAGAGAAAGUGCAGAAAGUGUCUCCUCCCCGUCGGAAAACAUAUAGGGAUGAAAGGCCCGAAAAACUGGGAAAUUGGCCAAGAAAAGAUGCUGCUAAUUUUGAUUCGUCGUCUAGCUAUAAACAACAAAAUGUGAAUAUUGCCGACACAAAUGGUGUUGGGUCUAAGCAAUAUGAGCCUGAGCAACCUCAUGAAGAUAGUAUCAAUGAGAUACUUGAGGUUGGUUUCUGUUGUGUGCUUAAGCAAACUCCUUGUGCAUGUUGAGUAGUUUUUUCUAGUAGAUGCUGAAAUGGUAGUUUCACUGUUUUGAUUGUGAAGGAAGAAGAGGCCCUCAUUGCUGCCCAUAGAAAGGAAAUUGAAGACACAAUGGAGAUUGUUCGUGAAGUAAGUGUACUUUCCAUGCUGCUUCUGACUUAUGCUUGCACCUCGUGGAUUCUUAUAGUGUAAAAUAGUAACUUUACUGAGCGCAUAUGCCAGUUGAAAUGUCUGGGUGUGAAAGAAAGGUUUGAUCUUUGUAGAGAGAUGCUUGUUAGUGCCACUGCUUAUCAGCCUAACUUGUGCUCCUGAUUUCAGGAAAUGAAACUACUCGCGGAGGUGGAUCAACCCGGAAGCCUAAUUGAUAAUUACGUGACACAGUUGAGUUUUGUGCUUUCACGUAAAGCAGCAAGUCUGGUCAGCCUACAGGCUCGUCUUGCCAGAUUCCAACAUCGUCUGAAGGAACAAGAAAUAUUGAGUAGAAAGCGGGUGCAUCGCUAAGGGGUAAAUAUCUUGUAAAUGUCAUGACCCGCAUCUACUUUAUAUCCACUGACUUUUGCAUGUCACAAUUUGGUACAGCUGAAAAGUACUUGUCAAAUAUGUAUCAAUGUGGACAUUUAUGAUUGUCAAGAAUGGCAUCAGCAGUGCAGUUGCAUCAUGCACUUGGAUAAACCACAAGAUCUUCGAAAGUUGCCUAGUGCACUGGUUGCAGAGGACGGAGUGACGUGGUCAUUGCAAUGUUGAGACGUUUAUAGGCUUUGUUGUAACUCAAGUUGUAUAAGCUGAGGCUUAACAUUCAGAAUUGCUGGCUCAAACAAUGAUGCAAGAAAUCAUAUUCGUAGGUGGUGUUGGUUGUAUAGAGAAUGUAUUCCAAAAUGAGUGAUGUCUUCUUUCGUUGGUGGGUUUAUGGGACUUCUUGUUUGAUGAUUGUUGAAAUGAUUUGGAGACGUACGCUUUGUACUGAAAGGGAUAAUCUUCUCAUUUUUCGGGAGUAUACUUCACUCUUUACCCACUUCCAAAUCCUUUAUUUCCCCUCCGUUUAUGUUUACUAAGAGCCUGUUGACAGAAGAAUCUCGUCUCGUUUAUACCCGUAGCGAAAAGAGGGCUUGUGAAGCACUAAAUCUGAUUUGCGAGUUGGAAUACAGGUGUAGACGUAUUUUUUGUUUUAAGCCAUAAAACUCGGUAACGUCCCAAUCCCUGUUUGGAUCCAACCGCACCCAAACAGCUACAGGCGAUCUGUCAGCAGACGGGGGAGGGAAAGGAAAGAUAUGAAUGCGCAAAAAAUCCCUCCGUAAAUGAAUGCAAGUAUACGGGGAAAAACAGACAAGAUUAACAAUAUGGAGACCUGAUCCUGCAGUAUACAUGCCUUCACAUUCUAAGCCAAAAAAAAAAAAUUGGUGCAGACCACUAUAGAAUCAAUCCAAUUUCCUAGUGAAACAAGGGCCCCAGAGAUUACAUCUCCGAUGAAGGUAACCUUUACUCGGCGCACCAAUAAUAGGCAGUCACUCAGAGAAGAUGACCAGCAUCAAAACCACAAGCUCCCAAACAAAACCAUACCAGGAAAAGAAAAAAACCAAAAAAAAAAAAAACUUGAUAGCUGUCCAUUUGCCUCACGUGUGGGGAAAAAGGUUACCAAACUCUUGGGCAAAGAUAAAAUGCCACGUCACUCGUACCAGGAUGUCAAGUGAUGUCAUUUUUUUGUUUUAAUCUGUUCAUUCCUCGUUCUCCAGCAUUUUCAUGCAUAUCCAUGAUCUGUCAAUUAGCAAAUAUACAGCAUCCAGAAUGAUCACUCAGCUUUUGACCUCAAAAUCUCUAAAGCGGUCCUCAGCCUAAAGUAUGGCAUGUGUUCCUACAGGCAAGAAGAAAACACAAGUUAGAAAGAAGAGCCCUUUCAAUCUAAAGCUAAAGCAGCAACUACGACAUUUGGAGAUAUUAAAAGCAGUAAUGAAUAACAUGCUUAAGUCCCUAGUAAACCUCGUCUCCCCCACCCAUACCUCGAUCUUUGACAUACAGAUGCACAGAAUAACGAAAAAGCUUAAUAGACAGAGAAAGCUCAAUAGACAGACAGAUUACAAAUUACCAAACAAUCAAGACAACCUGUUCUGACAUUAACCACUGGGUAAACAUGGCAGCUAAAGGCAUCAACUAAGCUUCAGAAAUUUCCAUGAAAUGCUGUCCAAUCCUACUAAUGUUACAAUAAUACACAACCAAAUCUGCUAAUGGUACAACCGGAAGUAAUAAACACUAUUUUCACUUUGUUUUUUCUUUGGCCCAUGAUAACUCUGUCCUUUCUAGUUAAUUAUCUCACCAAUUCAGUGUCAGCUAACUCUCAUCUGACAUAACAUACACCCCUGAUCCCUUCAUAAACAGACGACAUACAACUAGAGACAUGAAUGCUCCAUGGAAUAAUAUGUUAUGGCUAUCUCAACACCGAACUACGACAGCAUCACAGAGAGAAGAUAUUUAAUACACUGCAGUUUAUAAACAAUCUGCACAUGCCUCCUUCUGAUGUUCUGCAAUUCUAAACUAAAAUCUCCUUCAGAAUCUGAAGUAUCCAACAAAUUCAAAUAAGAAAGAAUGACGAAAUCCUGUAAAGUCAAGCUAAUCGCAGGCUCAAGAAGAUUUAAAAGACAUAAAUAAACCAUAUCUCUCAGGUUGUGCAUUUACCUGAUUAAAACAGAGUCCAAUAUCUCUACUGUAAAAGUCGGCAUAUUUGAUCAUAAACACACCGCAGUCGAAUCUGCUCAUAACACAGACAAAAACCUUUUUUUAUUGAACAAUUCAUAAAGAAAAAUGGAGAAGAAUUCUUAAUUUCGCUUGUACAGUAAUAAUAGAGCUAAAUGAAAUCAAUCUUUUUGCACCAGUGACAAAACAGAGGGACAAUCAUUUAAGCUCAUACCACAUGAGCAAACCACAACAAUUAACAACAGAAAGUGAACAGCAUCCCAAAGGUAAAUGGCAGAAAAGACUAAUCAGGUAUCCUGUGAAAGUGAUGAUGACUGCCAUUUCACACGAUCUAUAUUGCAAUAACAAAAGUCGAAAUUGGGCUAAGAAUGAAGAAGAUGACAAAGAGGAGAUUCACUAACCAAAGACAGGAUAUAGUAGGCGUUUUAACCGCCCACAUUUUAACCUCUAACCUCCCACAUUUUAACCUCAAAUUAUAAUUGGUGCUUAUAAGCAAUUUAACAGAGAGCACACAUAGAUAUGAUGUCAAAUAUCUAUCCAAAUAUCACUAGAUGCACGAGGCAAAUUUAUUUCAUAUACCUGCUGCUAUUGGUGAGGGUGGGAAGGGCCAGAAUUUUGCUAACUUUCAUACACAUAAAGGGCUAUGUAUUAGGCUAUUAGCAGUUUACAAGGAAUGUUUUCCUAGACAUAAGAUAAAUCACUAAAUGAUAUGGAUAUUAGCUUAGAACUAUUUCUCGGGUUGAAACCAUUUUGCAAGCAGAAAUUUGACCAAAAAGAAACUUCAGUACCCAUUCUCCUGUUCUGGAAGGUCCGCAACAAAUUCUUGCUGCCAGGAACUAACAUCAAUCCCUUUGCCACACUUGUCCUUGACUUCAUCUACAAUGUAUCUAGCCUGGAGAUAUAAAUAUAAAAAAACUGGCUUCAUCACCACAUAGCACUAUGAGUUAAACACCAAAACUUUUGUCUUCUUUCUUUAUGUAUCAGGAACAUUCUUUUACUUCUUUAUAAUGAAAGAAAAAAAAAAAUUUAAAUCAAUCAUAGGAACAAUUGAAGAAUUGCAGCUAACAUGUAGACAACAAUAUGGGACAUUUCGUUUUGGAUUUCUUAAACUAGUGAAAGCAAGGCCCAUUAUGACUCUGUUUGAAGACCAUAUAAGUGAGUCAACUCCUCUGACAACUUUAUCAACCCUGUAAUUGAGGACUCAAAGCACUUUAAAAAAAAAAAAAAAAAAAGCUUACCAGUACUUUAAUCACUUGACUAUCAACUCCACCAAGCGAAUCAAGAUACUGAAACUUUUCAUCCUUCUUGUUGAUGACUGCUAAGCACCAAUGGACUUCUUUGUGAAUUGGUACAAAAAUCUGAAUAAUUUAGAAACAUCAUCUAACUUUAAACUAAGCCAAGGGAUCAAAUCCAGCACUCCACAAAAACAACCUAAGGAUCUAAGGAUCCUACCUUAUCACAAUCAAAGAUACAAUAUCCAAGCUUCUUUUGGGAAGUCCAUCUCCGAACCGAUUGAUAGUUAUAUCCACCCUUUCCACUAACUAGCUGCAAUUUCAAAUGUCACCCAAAAAACUGAUUGAGGCAUAGAAGACAAAAAAAGUUCUUAAAUCUAAGGAUAACCUAUCAAAUCACAUCAUAUAUCAAACUCAUGACCUCACAAUUCUUUCAAAUGAAUAAGUUGCAAUUCUACAACAACUUCACGCAAAAAUUUUCCUAGUAAAGCAGAAAGCAUUCUCAAAAAAAAAAAAAAAACUAGAAACCAUCACAAAGUAGGUUUAGUUGAUUGAUUGAAUCCACCUAGAUCUCAGCGAAGCAUGCACCGUAUAUUUAAAAAGCAACAGGAGUCCAAUUUCUAGAAUUUCAUUAACUUGAUUUGACCAACAAAUUGGAAAUCCUUAACAUGCAGAGAAUUUGAGAAUGACAGGGCAUAUGUUACUUAGCAGUCAAUAUUUAACAUCAGCAAGAUUUCCAUCCUUAGUAUUAUAUUCACCUUACAAAAACACAAACAAUUUUUCUUUCAAGCUUAUCCAUCUUUCCACACUUCUAUGCAUGUACUAUGUAAUAGGAAAACUCAUAAUUGCAAUAGAAGUCUUCAUGCCCAGGGCCCCAGGCCUCCAAUGCUUCCCAAAAAGUGUACAGUUUAAGUUCUCCAAUCUCAUAGAUGCUAAAAAAUGCUGGUAAAAAUCUAGAAGACUGAUAUUCAAAUUCCAAACUUAGCCUUUUACUCUAAUUUUCUAUUUUGUAAGUUUUGAAGCAAAUUGCAUGAAAUGUUGACAAAUGGGUACAAUAACACAUUCAAGUCUAAGCCCUAAAAGAACCAAUACAUAUAGAAGUUAUUACAACCAAUCAACCUUUUCUUGCCUAAAUGCGGAAAAGAGAGCUCACUGACCUUUUUGAAAAAGAAAGUGUUAAAGAAAUGGCAAUUCAAGAAUUUUUUAGGCUCCCUUCUCUCCCUUUCUUUUAAAAGCUCAAGAUAUAAAUUGAUAACCUGCAAAAGAAGAAAGCCCAUUUACAGAGGGAAAAACCUUUGUCAAAUGCUUGUGCUAACUCGAUAAGAAGUCUUUUCACCAAGUUCAUGGAAGCUGACAAAAAAGCAAAGUUCACCUCAUCAUUCAACCAUGCACGUGGUCUCAAGCACUGCAAAACUUCUCCUGUUAUACUAAUAUUUGAAUUUUCAUGGGUCACCAAAAGCUUCCUCCUGUACGUAAACCACAGAAUAGAAAUAAAAUGAUAACAGCAGCAUAAAAUGGACCAAUAUGGAGCCAUUUAAAGGCAAACAAAGACAGCAUUGACUCAUACCGACUGGAAUUAGAAAGAGCACGGUUAACCUCAGUCUCUUCUUCCUCAGUAAGAGGCUUAAAAGCUUCUGCUGUCACAUCCUGCAAUCAAAUGCAAGCAAAGUAAGCAAAAAUAAAUAAAUAAAUAUACACAGCAAGAAAAUUCCAUACUUUCAUGGCUCAAAAAGAUUACCUUCUUAGCAGCUUCUUCUUUCUUCUGGGGACGCAAUAACUGUUGUAGCUGCAAUUGCUUCUCAGUAUAUUCAAUCUGAAAAUUCAACGAGUUAAUUUUAUCAUUCCUCCUCUCUGCAACAUAUAACAAUUUCUUGUGCACGCUUUCUUGUGGAACGCCCAACUCCUGACUUAACGACAAAGACGCCAGCAACUUCUAUGCACCCAUUUUAUGACAAGGGAAUCUGCCUCCUCUGGGUUUAAGGCCUUACGCUUGCAAAGAGUUCUGAGUGCCUUUACAUGAGCAUUAACCUGUCAAAGUUUGAAAGCUGCUUAGACAUGUGCCAAAGAUGUCAUACAGCAACCGGAGAAUAAAGAACAUGCAACUCAUUGUUUUCCAAGCCAAGGCAGGUAAGGGAUAAAAAUAAGCAUAUGAACCACAUUUAUGCAGCUUUCUGGCCUUCCAUACAUACUCUUUUUGACAGUGAAUGAAACCUAAUUGAGUGAAAAUGCUCAUGCUUUAUUGUAGUGAAACUAUCGAGAAGAUUAUCAAUAAAUAUCAAAAGUCUUCUUCGGAUGUGCUGUUUAAUUAACCAAGUAAAAUCUCAUGUCUUUUACAACUCUUGAGGCCAUUCAACAGAAAAAUUUAGGACAGGAAAUGCAUUUUAAAGAAUAGAAGACAAUACUGAUGGAAUUGAUAGAACAAAAUACAGUAGUGUUUGAUAGAUACCUCAGUUGAAUGCAUGUUGAACUCCUCAAGUCGCUUGAGAAAGUUAUGAGCUAGAUCAGCAGCAGGUUCAGGAGGCAGCUUCACAGAAACAUUAGAGAUUGUUUGCAAGAGGAAGACACGGUCCCCUGCCCAAGCAACCGAAUUAGGUUCUAUGUCCAUUUCCUCAUUGCCAUCUCUUUUUUCGUGUGGGCUCCUAAGCUCACCAGCAGGUUCAUACUUGUCCACGAGCUGCCAAUGAUGAUGGAGGAAUUCCCACUCCACCUCCUUUGGAAGGAAUGCUGACACCUCUGAUAACAGAAGCCAGGCACCUGGAGGUGCUGUCCACUUCUCGAUUGGCAUAGAAUGACUCAACCACAGGGAUUCAGACGCCCUUAUGAUAUUCUGGAGGGCUGUAGCAAUCUUGGGCUUGAGCCUUUUUUUCUUUCCUAAGCUUGUACAGAUCUUCUUCACCCAAGAAGUCACCUCUGCAUCACAAGUCUCUUUUAGUAUACACAAAACUCCCUCAGGACAUAACAACUCAAUUUCUCUAUCCAAAAUCCUUGACUUUCCAUUUGACUUAUCCGUGAAAGAAUGAUGAUGGGAUGUGGUAUCUGAUGGAACCUUAGAUACUCGAUCAAGAACAAGUUCUGAAAACAGGCUCUCACAUUCUUCUUGGAUGCUAGAUUCAUUGUCAGCUAUUAAAGGUGGAACAGAAUGUAGCCACUCUUUAGUUACGUUUGUAUCACAGAAUAAUCUAAAGGCCUACACAGCAAUACACAUGUCAAGAUAUGAUUGAGGAAUUACAAAUCCAGCUAAUUCAAUGUGCAGUAAAGAAAAUGCAUCUGAAACUAUUAUAGCAUCCAAGGAAGAAAAGGAUUAAUACAGCCAAUAACAACUUGGGAGAAAAGAGUGGCAGAAUAGUUUGCUUUGUAUGAGGCAUGCAGUACCAAUGGUUGCAAAAUGCUUUACCCUGGGGCUUUAUCUUUUAUCAUAUCUCAUUGGAAGGGAAAUCUAAAGAAUAAAUCACAAAAAGGUGCUUUAGGAACUGCAAAAUCAUGCACGUGAAUAUGGAUAACUGAAAAGGCAUUUCAGGCAUGUUAAUAUGACAAAUUGUAUUUGCAAAUCUAGGUAAUAGAGCAAAGUAUGCAAUUGGAUUCUUCCUAGACAACAACUUUAGAUAAGCAAAACAAAUAAAAUAAAGAUCAAUCAAAUAUAUUUUCAAGGUAAGCUAAUGAACCUCUGAAAGAGCUGAUAUUGCUGCUUUCCGUAUACUAACAAGGGGGUCAGAACAAGCCAUGCCCACGAUCUUCAGCAAUUCUCCAUCAAGAGCACCUCUUAAAAGUACUGUUAACUUGGAGAUCAGAAAAAGAGCCGCCUUCCUGACUGCAGCCUUCUCAUCCAUACACCGUUUCAGCAAGAGAUCAUUCAUCCUACAUUUCGUGCUACUCAAGCCCUCAUUCCCAAACCCCAUCACUUCCUUCAACAAUGUCCUGCUCCUAUUAUUCCCAGAGAAAAAUCCUACAACUUGAGCUAAAUUAGUUAAGGCCCUCGCUUUAAUCCCAGCGGUAACAUCUGAGCAACGCUCAAUUAAUGUCUCCAAACAAGUCAAACCCCACAAGUUCUCAACUUUAUCACCUGAAUCCAAUCCCAAGGGGUCUCUCAAUGUCGUCAUCAACAUAAGAAUUAGGUCAACGGACAGAAGCCUAAAUUGACCUUUUCCUUGGCUCAUCUUGACUACAUAAUGUGUAAAUUCAACUUGAUCCUCAAACGCCAAAACUUUAACAAUCUCCAUUAUAGAUUCCACAGCCAAAGCCCUUGGCUCAGCCUUUUCCGGGGCCUUAUGCACCAAGUACUUGGGCAAAUUGACAACUGCUUUCUUAAUCUGACUCGAAUGGUUAGCCAAUCUCAUCAUUCUAUUCACCACAAACUGCAAUCCAAAACUCCUAGCCUGUGAUUUAGGAAGAAACAUCAAAGGUGUCAAACACUUCAAAACUUCAGCUGCAGAAACUGUCUGAUCCGCAUGCUCAGCUUUAAGCACUUCAUUCAAAAUCUGAGAACUCAGCUCGCAUAACUUUUCAUAACUCCCUGAACUCCUACAAACCUCAACUGCCACAACAGGAAUCUCAGCCACUGUCUGAACCAAACUCCUCAAACUAUCCGGAAACCUAUCCAAAUGAACCAAGCCCAACACUAAUUCCAACCUCUCCAGAACACUAAAAAACACCCUCGCCUCAAUAACUCCCUCUUCACCGUCAUUUUCACUCUCUUCCACCAGUUUUCCCUUAUUUUUCCCCACCCCUAGCCUCCCUCCACCGCGCUUUUUUCUACCCCGAUUUUCACCCCCAGGACCGUCAUUAGAAACCAGAGAUGGGUUCUUGAAAGCCCAACGAAUCGACCGCAACAGUGACACAAAAGCCAUGGGAGUGAACAGAGUUAAAACAGGAGAAUUAGGGGAUAAAAGCAAAGAAAGGUAAACAUUUGAGGCUAAAAGGGAAAGAGUACUUCUUGUGGGUCCGGUAGAAUCCAUGAGGGAGGAAAUGGAACUGGUUAAUGAAGUUAAAGAGAGGUUUCUUGAAGAAAUUUCAGCAUAAAAAGAUUCAAGAUCUGUUGAAUCAUUGGUUCUGAGUGUGUAAUCCAGAAGGGUUUGAAGGUCCUUGAGAGAAAUUGCUGAAAGGGGAUUUUGGGCUUCCAGUUCUGCAAGAAUUCUGUUGAUGGAUUCUUCAUCCAUGGUUGAAUUGAUCGACUUUGGGCUCUGGAGAUUGAAGGGUUCUGCUGCUCUAUCUAUUACUGAGGUCCAUGACUCGGUCGUUCUUCAAGAUUGCAACUUUCAUCUUCAUUUCUACGCUGACGGCUUCAAAUUUUUUGGCUUUCCCGCUCUAACAUUGGGAUAAAUACUGCUCUAUACAACAUUAACAACGGCUUUUCGUAGUGUCUAAAGUACUCGAGACAGCGCUCACUUAGAGGCACGGUUUCAAGCUUCUGAGCUGCCUUUUUGUGGUCUCGAAUGUACUCUAGAAAGCGCUUAGUUACCAGCACGGUUUCAAUCUCAGGAGCGGGAGGGACAAGGGAUUUACUAGAGUCUCUUUUUACGGUACUACGCUACUUGCUGCAUGGGCUUAAAAGUUCUACUUGGAUCUAGCUUUUCCGGUGGAAAAAUAAUUUAUACCUGAAAAAUAUUUUGAUGACAAAAUUUCAUAUGCAAAAGUAUUAGAGUAAUUUAUACAGACAAUGUAUACACUAUUAUGAUUAGUUAUAUGAUAUAUCUGUAAAAUUUGAGUUUCAAAUUUAUAUUCGAAUUAUGUGUCGGACAUCCAUUGAUAAAAGUAUAUGCACUGUCAGUAUAUAGAAGAUUAAUAUAAAAUAUUAUACUCCACUUUUGUAAAGUUCCUUUGAAGAAUGAUUUAGGAAAAAAACACUGAUUAUGUAAAACAAAUAGCAUUUCAUGGCAUGCAAGAUUUACAUAUUCCUAGUUUAGGUCAAUUAGAGAGUUGCAAUGUCCAUGGCCUGAUUUCACAGCUAAACAAAUAGCACCACCGUUGAGAAUUGAUCCUUUCAACUCCGGAAAUUUUCAGAAGGAUUCGAAAAAUAUCGAGCAAUAAUGAAAACUAUUUAGCUAUAUUUUCUUUUGGUUAACUAUAUUUUCUUUUGGUUGCAGAAUGUGGAUCACAACAUGAACCAUAAGAUUACACAAAUCUAGAGUUUAUAAUCAACAACAUACAGCUUAUUAUAUGGAAUGUGAGUUUAGAACCAACAAUCUGCAACUUCUUCUCUCCAUGUUACAUUUUCUAUAUUGAGCACUUUUGUGUUUCUCAACUCAAACACACACACACACACACAAGGGCAAAAGGAAAAAGGUUGGUCUGGUAGGUAUACACCUCCUCAUUAAAUGCAAUUACCCACCUCAUUACAAAGCCUGGGAUUCGUCCUUAACACUAUAUAUACUGCUAAUAAUAUGAUUAACAUCUGUAAGUGAAUGAGAAAAACAUCUCAUAAAUAUCUCACUCUCUUUCCUUUUCCUAAAUCGUGCUUAUUCUCAUAGAGUCUUCAUUAUUUUUUACUCCAAGCCUUUGAUUUGACGAAUGAAUUAACCAGGUUCAACCAGUGUCUCUACUGGAGGAAAGCCUGAUGAGGAUACUAACGCUGGACUGCAAGACAAUGCUCCAGCUGAUUCCUAUUCACUAGCAAAUUCUCUGCCAUAACAGAGACAGCAAAGCUGCUAGAUCUUUGGCCAAACAUCCUUCCAAUUUAUUUUAUUCUGUAAUUGCUUCCACUUUAAGGGUAUAUUAAUUAAUAAUCCCCCUUAUUGUGGUUUGCAUAUUUUCAAAAUGGAAGCAGAUAUUUUGGUUGUAAACGGCUGACUGGGAUAUAAACCUUCUAGCUAGUAAUGAUACGAUAUUCCUCCCUAGUUUUUGACCAAAGCGUGCUUAACUAGGUAUGAUAUCUAUCUAGCUCGGAACUUUUCACUUAUCUUGAACAAUCGCAUCAUUAACGUUCUCUUCCUACCCAAGCAUAUAAUUUUGAGUCUUUGACGAACUUACACACAGAAAUGUCCAACAUCCCUAUAAUAUUAGGCUACAUGACAAUGAGGUUGGCUAAUACUUGUAUGCUGUAGCCAUCUUUUGGCUUCUUUUUACAAGUAUCAUGAUCCAACCUUGAAAAUAAAGCUGUACAUGCCGAUAAAAGUGACAUUGAAAUCCAAAACUGUAAUGCAAAUAAAGCUACAUGACUGACUUUUGCUAUCAACUGACUAUAUCUACUUGCCAUAUCGCCCCUAUGAGAUGAGAUAUAUGCCUUACUCGGCCGCACCUAAAAAUCAAAGUAUAUCCCUGCAAGACUCAGAAAUGAUGCAAUAUGUGUACAGUCUACAGACAGAUUAAGGAACGCAAAAAGUCCAAUAAACAUAUUGUAGAAAAUAUUGGAUUGUAUUCUUUCCUUGAUACAGCUCACCACCAGCUGGUAUAGACAAGGAAAACCAUUUAUUACACGCAUGCAUAAUACUUAAAGGAACUCAAGGAAUGUCUCGCAACAACACAAACAUAAAACAAAGCAGUCGAAACAUGACUGGAUUAAGAAAACAAAGUCUUCUGGAAAAUUCCCAUAGACCAAACUAGGUUUGGUUGCCCGAUAUCCAGGGUUAUUAAUGGUUUCUGCAUGAUAAGCUUCACAGGAAGUGUAUCAUUCUUGGAGCAUCUGCAUCUUCUGGAUUCGCAGCCUCACUGGGAUUACCGCCAUAGUCGCCGGUAGAGGGAAAAAGAGGCGGCGGCUGCUCCAUGUUAAGCUCCACAUGAUGAUCAGCAGAAGUAGUGCAGCCUCUGCCCUGACUGAACACCGAUGGCUCUGGUCCAGCUAGGUUCAGCUCAUGGCGAGGAACCCAAUAUGGUCCUCCUCUACUGGCUAACACAACCUCCAUCAAUGGAGAUGGCGGAUUGCCCCCGUGCAAAAUGGGGUACGUCGCCAGACUUGGAUGAAAAUGAGGUCUGCCAACAGAAGGAUCAGACCUUACAAAUAUAUAAUCAAUUUUCUUCAUAAUUAUAUGCUUAAUUAUAUCAAAAUACUAGUUGUAAUUACAGACAUGCAUAUAUUGAUGUACGAAUAUUUAGUAGCAGUAUCGGUUAACACUCAACAGUAGGUAUUAAAUACGUGGAAUUCACUUAAAAAAACAUGGAUUUGAAUGACGGAUCAUCCGAUAACAAGAAAAAGGUUUUUACUCAUUUGGAUAUCGAUCUCGGACAUGCAUUUAGUUAAUCAUGUAACAAGCUGGCAGAAUAUUUAACUUGCUACUAAAAACAAAAAAAGUAGAACUUACCCAAUGGGGACAAGAGCAGCAGGGGGCCUAUAGUUGACGACAUUGUUGGCAAGGCCAAUUGCAGCAUCAUUAAUAUUGCUUGCAUGGAGAGGGGUGGAGGGUGGUGCCAGCCGUGCUAGUGUCAAGGGGAAAUAGUUAUGCUGGUGGACACCGACGUCGGGGAAACCAACGUUGCUGCUAUUGCCUGCAUAUUCAUGACAUGUUCGAACAAACAUCUCGUUUUUUUUUUUUUAAGGAUUAAUAAAAUGAAAAUAAACCUUUUUUUUUUUGCCGAAAGAAGAACUUACCUCCAACUUGGAGUGCCCCUGUUGGCCUGCCAAACGUAGAAGAAUGAUAUCAAUAGUAUAUGCUAAGCGAAUUUCAUGUCUCUAUCUAUCAUGGGAAUAAAAUUCCGGGUUAAUUAUAUGUCAAUUUAUUUGCUUGGCCCUCCUUGAAAUUAUAUGUCAAUUUAGUGGAGACGCUUAGGUUCAAUUUGGCAUUGAAAUAGUUCAGAUGCAUACAGGCCUAAAAUUUGAAAAAUAUUUUGAAGAAUAAAAAAUGUUAACUUAGAAGUAAUAAGCUUGAAAAGCACUCACCCCCCCCCCCCCAAAACAAAACUCUUCACAAACUAUAUCUAACUUCAACAAGUAACAUCUCUGAGAAAAAUGAAGAAGGUAUGUAAACGAAGAUUUCAACGUCAAAUGCUUAAUUUUUGAUAGAAAGGGAAAGGAUCAAAAUCUUAAAGGCAGGAAGCUCUCAAGUAAAGUGUUCACCUGUAAACUCGUAAAGGCCAUGCAUCAUCACCGUCGUCGGGCCCUGGGCAGUGAGGAUGCCCAUGUAGACACUGAAAAAAGUUUUGGUUCUGGUAAUUGUGAUCCUGCUCCUGCUCCUGGUCCUGGUCAUGGAGAAUUCAAGUACCACAGUUAGUAAUCGCUGAAGUAUAAUGCAUAAGAUGUAUGAUUAUUAUCGUCUAGUGAUUGGCAUUUUUUUUUAACUAUCUAAGCGGGAAAUCUGAAUAGCAGAGUUGCUCACAUUCUUUCUUUGUACUAAGGGGUACAGAACCUCUACAUGGCUACUAAAGCAGCAUGGCCAUGCAACUGAAUUACUAGUAAAUUUGUCUGGCUUUAAUUAUCUGUAUAAAUUUACUCUGAAUUAACAUAGCAAGAAUUAUUAUAGUUCUAUUGUUAGCAUAUAUAAACGGAUGUUACAGUAAAAUUGCUCUUAAAUUAUGGCUAGAUCUUCUGUGUUAAUUGCCGAUAACGGCACUGCCAGUCAUCUUCACUGGAUUUGCAAUGUAUAGCAGCUACCAUUAUCAUUAAACCAUUCUAGUUUGCAGGACAAAGCACAAGCAAUAGUCCAUAGGGCGAAACCUAUCUAGUUUUUGCUUUAUAUCUGUCUUGGGUUUCAAAAAAUUUUCCCUUGCAUUCUCCUGGCCUCCGUCUGUACUGCCUAUUCUUACAAGUCACAAGCCUAAUCUAGCGGACAGCAAAUUAUUUGACGUUAAUUGUACUCUUCACCUUAGCACAACAUGAACUGAAAAAAAGAUUUAAAGACAUAUAAAUGGUAUUACCGCAUCUGCAUUGCUGGUCUCCUCAUCACUCUCUUCAGCAAUGACAUCAAGCAUAGGAUCUUCAUCAAUGGUAUCAAGCCCAGGAGCUUCCAUGCUGUACAACCAAUCGCUGGUCUCCAUCGACCUGCAGUUGGGGCAUUGCAUUGCACCCCUGGCGUUAAACUCGCAUCCAAUGCAUGCUGCAAGAGACAAACAAAAAAUUGUUAAAACAACAAGUUUAAAUCACUUGCAGGUAGAAAAAAGAAGUAGAAAUAACAAAAAAUAAAAAAUAAAAGGAGGAAGUUCGAGAUUAUGGUAAAAGUUAUGAUGCCACUAACAUGAGAUCAGGAAAAACUAGACAUGUACAGGACAUUUUUUGUUUGCUCACUCUCUUCUAAGAGGUAUUCAUGGAUUCUCAAACUUAAACGGCUUAUAUAUCACCAGUUUAAGCCGAAACAUUCUUAUGACUUUGUAAAGAGCAAAAGUUGAUAAAUAAAAUAUUUUUUUGGAGAUCAAGCAAAAUAAAUAUUUACAACAGUGUGGACUCGCCAAUUUGCCCAUUGAAUCAAUUGUACUUUUUAUUCCUUUACUUAUUUUGGUAGCUGACACCUGCUAGUUCUAGUAGAAAAGUCACAAUUGUUUGUGGACAUGAAAUUCUGGAUGGGGAAAAAGAUAUAUAAUACGGUCUGAUCUUCAACAAAUCAUAAAAGGACUCUAUUUACUCCCCAACAGAUGAAUCAUCAAAACCCUCUUUUAAAUAUGACGCAGAAAAGAAAAGAAUGCAGUACAAGUUUCGAACUCCUAUGUAUGAUAACAUAACAAAACAUACCUUUGAGCUUAAUUCUAAGUGAAAGUACCUAUCCAAGAAUUAUUCUAUAGACUAAACUAGAUUUUGUAAUGUCAGUAAAUAACUGUAAAAGCUACAUGAGGAAUUACUGAUUUAGAUGUAUGUACGACGGCGCAAAAUUGUCUUCCCCUUUUCUUGCUUUGAUGUAAAUUCAGAUUUAUAUAUGUAAACCAACUUUUUCGAUCCACUUGUAAGGUAAAUUAUACCAUUUACCAUUGAAGUUUAUUUUUUGGUUUUAACUAUACACUGGCCGGUAUGCUUAAUCUUGCCCACAAGUUCUUCGAAAAAUUGGAAAUAACCAAUUGAAGUAUUUUUUUUCCACAACAAAAAUUAAUUCAUUAGAUGAAAAAAUGGCACGAAUAUUAUCCGAGGAAUGUGGCUAAGCAUAUGAAAUUCUCUAUCCGGGGAAAAGAUAAUACAGUCAAUCAGGCAAUAAGUAUUCAUAAUAUAUGCCCCGGUAUAGAAAAAUCGUCAAAACCCUUUUUAUCUUUAAGAUGUUAUAAAGUAAAAAUAUAAAGAAAACACUUUCUAACUCCUAUAUAUAUUCGUGAUAACAUAAACCGAUAUACCCUUGGGAUUGAAUAUAAGAGAGUAUCUACCCCCAAGUUCUUUUAUUUUAUAGACUUCAUUAGUUUUUGUCAUAAGUAAUUAAAGAACUGUAAAAAUUGCACCCACAAAUCAGAGAAGAAAAUGGAAUAAAAGAUUUAUAACCAAGUAUAAUGGUGCAAAAUCGUCUCCCCUUAUCUUGCUUUCAUGUAAAUUCAGAUUCAUUUAGGUAGACGGAAUUUCUGUGUGUACUUGAGAGGUGAUCUAUGCCAUUUGACGUUGUAUUUUUUUUUCCCCCCCGCUAGAACAAGGAUAACCCAUUAAACAAAAAAAAAAUUAAAAAAAAGGUCAUAAACUCAAAUCAGACAGAAAAACACCAAAGAGAAAGGAAGCAUCCGAGAUCAAAGAAUCCUUCUAAGAGAGACAGGUACGAACACUGAAUAUAAAUCAAAGGACAAACAAAAAGAAAAGAUAGAGAGAAAGAGCGAGAUAGCUAUACGUAACUUCUAGGGUGAAAAAACUAAUAAGACCAAGACUUUGGACAAUUCAAUCUCAGGCAAUAUAUCACGUAUGGAGAUAAUCAAUAAUCAAGCAAAUGAAAAGAGCAACAUUAGGAAAUCCACUUAAAACCUACACAAAUGAAAUGUGUGGCCACAUUUCAGCUUAGCAAUGGCUCGGGAGUUAUUGUCGACCACGUCCUCCAAGCAAAUUGAACACUCUCCGAUGAAUGGAGUUUCCUGUGCAGCAGAAGAAACCUGACUUCUGGAACCCAUAACUCUUAAUCUCACAGGCACUUGUUGCUCUCACUCUACACAGUAUAUCUUAACAGAUAUUAGACCCAAUAAUAUUUGCUUGUAUAUAUAGAAGAGAUUAGCAGGUUCAUGAACUAUUUUAUUCGUUGUCAAGUAUAUCCACCUGGGCUUCGGUGUGGAAUGGCUCCUUGUCAUAAAUGAUUCUGUUAAUAUGGAAAGUAAAUAAUAAUGGUUACCAUAUUUCCAAAAAGCAAAAUCAAAUUACAAUGUACUUUUGAACUAGAGUAACAUUGGCCCUCUAAACUUUUACAUGUAACAGUUUGACCACCAAAACAUCAACUCUAACAUUUGAGACAAAAACUCCCCACCUAUUCUGCCUCUCUCCCUAACGCUAUGUAUGUUGAGCUUACAAAGGAACAUAUAGUAUAGAAGGGCGCCCUUUUUUCAUUAGUAAAAACUCAAGGGGCGAAUGUAACAUUACCCAAAAGAUACAAGAGAAAUAUGAAUUUUCUUAAAGAACUGAUGCACCCCUCUACUCGUUUUACUUAUUGAUGAUGUACUUUGUUCGGCAUUAUUCAAGUAUAUCCAAGCUGUCACUGAAAUCUUAAUUACUUGUCUUUUUGGGUGCAACCUUGCUCUAGAUUUGAUUUUGCUGACACAGAAAAUAAAUCACUAUUAAACUUGUGGACCAAAACAAUUUAUGAAAACAUAUCUGAGCAUUUAUGCAUGUCAAACAACUUUUAAGAAGCAUAACAACAUAAUGGCGUGCUGCAACAAAUGAAUUAUGAGUAUAUCAAAGCAUACAAUUUUCUUUUAUAAAACGUCAACUUUAGUUAUUUUACUACACUGCUAAAGCAUUUAGUCAAGGGUAUAUGUAUGCACACGUAACUGUGAAACCAAAAUUUUUCAUAAAGGUUAGGAUUUAAUUUGCUCGUGACUAAGGAUAUUUCUGGAGACAUUGCACUCAUAAUGAUGAGUUAUAAAGUAACAUCAAAUUAUUAUAUCUUUAAUCAAUAGUCUAAACCCUAUUUUCUAUAUUACAUGUACAGCGAGAAAUAUAAUCUUGUAACCAUUUAAUUAAGGAUUAAACGCAAUAACUUAUAAGUCAUCAACGACAACUAACCCUAACAGGGUUACACCCGCUCAAAAAUAAGUGAUAUUUGGUUUUUUUUUGCGAUUCUAAUCUAUACUUUGUAAAAGUGAUGAUUAAGCAAAAACUUUAAUGAUAAUCGAUCUUGGAUCCUAAUAAUUGUAUGUAUUGCAUGGGGAAUACCUAGGAGAGAAUUAAUAAAACCUAAAACGAGUAUUGUUUUUACUAACUGAACACUUAUUAUCCACUUUUAUUUUCUAAAAACGUAUACAAUAUAAUAAAUUUCUAAUUAGUAACUGCAGUGAAAGAAACAAUUGAAACCCUAUCUAUGUAAUGAAAGAUAUGACAAACAUAUGAGCAUUUUUUUUUAGAUUUUGUAAAGUCAAUGGUAAGGUGUUGAUCUUAUUUGGUUUUAUUUAUGUUUUAUGGAACUUAAAAGAAGUUUGCUUUUUAUGGCCUAUAGAUAUUAAUAUAACUAAAAAUGCAACAUAACUCAGCUAAUUGAUUUUCUUCAUCAUUUUAUUUGAAUUCUUCGUCAUUCUUUCUAUUAUAAAAAUAUGUACAUAUUUUUUCGAAUUCUUAAAAGAAUUUUCUAAACCAUGGACUGCAAUAUCAGCUCCAAUGCAACACUAUAUCGCAAAUUCACCUGUAUCUAAAGCUUAUUAAUUUGCUAGUUUUCUAGCUGUUAAAUACUAUCAGAAGGUUAUAAUAUGUCAAACUCCAUCCAAUUAAAAGCUUUGUAGUCCAUGAAUCAUCAGUUUUCAAUGCAUCCUAAUCCAUAGUUUGGUCUUCAUACUUUAAUAGUUAUUCUAACUUGUUGAAUAAAAUAUAUAGCGAAUAAGUUUGCUCAAAUCUGCAAGUGACUAUUUAGGGAUCAGUUAGAUGAUCUAAAAUUUUUUUUGAAACAAAAAUGUGUUACAAAUAUGAUUAUUUCAAUUGAAUGUUCGAAAUACCAAAAAAAAAAAAAUUUUUGAAUCAACACUCUUGCCCAAAAACUCAUGAGGCAUAAACUUUAAUUACAUCCACUAGAACAAAGAGGAUCCAUAUUUGAAAACAAUUUCUUUUAGUAAUAAAUAGCUUCAAAGGAAACUAUAUGCCUUGACUAGAGUAUUAAUAUAUAACUCACUUCAAAUUACAAUGACAAGGGAAUUAGACCUUUCACACAACUCAAUGAAUCACUUGGUCCGAGCAGAGCAGUAGAUGCCAUGCCAUGCCAUGCAGAUGUCUAGAUUUCUUUGUGCACUAAUUGUGCUUUAAUCCUUUCAAUUAGUAUUUUUUUGCCAUUUAUCUAUAUAUUAUUUUACUUAGGAAUAGUAGCCAGAAAUUAAAAAUUUCCAAGAGAACAAUUUCAUCGGUGAUAGAUUUUACGGACUGCAAAAGUUAGGCUGAACUUUUCCGCUCAAAAGAGCAGACCUCAAUUUUGAUAGGCCCAAGUUUCUUACCCAGGACAAUUCCAUUUCUAUAGAGUAUAAAGCCCAACCCAAAAUAAAAAAGUCCGUCUUGUCAUUGAGCCCGCGAAUUAAUCCAAAUCUGGAACUCCUGAGUCCUGAGCCUUAGUAUUCAUCUGAGACUGAGAAGGACGAAAUUGUCAAUAAACGAAAGAUUAUCCUAUUUUUGUAAAUUGAUGUUCUACUUCUUCCCCAGAACCCUCGCCCUAUAUAUUGUGGCUGCCCAAGCUUCAACCUCUCUCCCUUGUAGCAGUAACCUUUUGUCUGGAGCGAUCCGAGAGCUAGGCUUGUCCUCAUCAUCAUCAUGUUGGUCUAUCAGGAUUUAGUCACCGGUACACACACUUUUGACUUUUGUUUUUCUGGUUUUACGAAUGAAUUUGUAGUUCUAUAGAUGUGUGAUCUGAUUGAGUUGCUUUUGCUUUCUGGGCUUGGUUUUUAGUUAUGUAUAACGGGUUUUCGAUAGGGUUUUUGCAAGGUUAAUUUCUAGAUCUGUGUUAGAUUGAAUCUGUAGUUUGCUCUGUGGUGGCCUUUAGUUUUUGAGGGGUUUGAUGGUUAAUUGGAUUCUGAAUUGUUGUUACCAAUGGUUUAAUUUUUCUUUGUUUUUGCUCUUACUGAUUGUUUGUGAUUUGAUUCCUAUUAAAAAUCAAGUCUUUUUUAAAUUUCCGUGUUAAAGAUUAAGUCUCUUUCGCAUGCGCUCGGGAAUUGGAUGAUUACAUUUUCAGAACUUAUGUUUUGGUGCAAAAGGUCAGCGGAAUUGUUUGGUUGUCGCAGUUUUUAGGUGGAUAUACACGUGUUGUUACUAUUGAGAGUGGAUAUCUACCCGGUUUUUGACAUCCUCCCCCCCCCCCCCAAAACACCAGUUGCUCUUUCUGCCUAUGAACAUUUUGGAAUGGGUUGGAGAAGGCUGAUUCUGAUUUGUAACUUGGAUCGGAAGUCUGUGUGAAAUUUCUUUUGUUAUUGCAUUGAUAGAGUGGGACUAAACUUUCUCUUGGAUAUAAAAAGAGAUUUAAAAGAAGGAUUGUGCUCAUUUAAUUAAUCCGAUUUUGUACUAUUAGCUACUGCUGAUUAAUGUCCCCUGCUACUUUCUCUUACACCGGCUUUUAAGAGUAUGUUUUGAUUUGUUUUGGUGAAUCUCGUGUUUAACUCUCUUCUCGAUUCACUUCUAUGAUUGUGUAGGUGAUGAGCUUCUCUCGGACUCGUUUCCAUACAAGGAAAUUGAGAACGGGAUCCUCUGGGAAGUUGAGGGAAAGGUGAAAAUUGUUCUCUUUUCUGUUUAACUUGCUUAAUUUUGGAAAAGAUCUGAAUUUCUAUUAUGAUGAUCAUUACUUGUGCAAGCAUUAUGACUUGUCUAUUGUUCGUAUGUUGGCAACCAAUGAGUUUCUUAUUCCAGCAUCUUUUUACCUUACAUAAGAGUAUAAAUGAUUAAGAGUUUUGUAAAGUCUGAUUUGCUGCAAAUUUGUAAAUUCCAGUGGGUUGUCCAAGGAGCUGUUGAAGUAGACAUUGGUGCAAACCCUUCUGCCGAAGGUUGUGGAGAGGAUGAGGGUGUUGAUGACCAGGCUGUGAAGGUGGUGGACAUUGUUGACACAUUUAGGCUCCAGGUUUUUGUCUGAUUUUACUAUUUGGAUGAGGUUGACUAUUGCGUUUAGGGAAUAUGAAGCUAAUUUAUUACCUUGCAGGAGCAACCUCCUUUUGACAAGAAGCAAUUUGUUGCAUACAUAAAGAAGUAUAUCAAGUUGUUGACGCCAAAGAUAGAUGCAGAGAAGCAAGAGCAUUUUAAGAAGAAUAUUGAGGGCGCAACCAAGUACUUGCUCUCAAAGCUCGGUGACCUCCAAUUGUGAGUGCAACCUCCUUUAAUGCCCCCUCGUUCACUUUUCUUUCUUUUUUUUUUAUUUUUCUGCUUGUAAUUCUUUGGAAGUAUUUGAUUGUUUGAGCACACUGCAAAUUAGAGUUUUUAUACUAAAUGGUCAAGGUUCACUCAUGUUGACAGUUUUGUGGGGGAGAGCAUGGCCGAUGACAGUACCUUGGUGUUUGCUUACUACAAAGAUGGUGCCAUCGAUCCGAC
rnacentral:lncRNA from 1 species